rnacentral:tRNA from 6 species
GUGCCUGUAGCUCAGUUGGAUAGAGCAACGGCCUUCUAAGCCGUGGGUCAGGAGUUCGAAUCUCUUCAGGCACGCCA